rnacentral:rRNA from 1 species
UGAACGCUGGCGGCGUGCCUAACACAUGCAAGUCGAGCGGAGAUACAUGUCUAAGAGAUUCGGUCGAAUUAAUGUAUCUAGCGGCGGAUGGGUGAGGAACGCGUGGAGAACCUGCCCUUCACAGGGGGAGUAACAGCUGGAAACGGCUGUUAAUACCGCAUAUGCUCACAGGAUCGCAUGAUCCAGGGAGGAAAGCCGAGACGGUGAAGGAUGGCUCCGCGUCGGAUUAGCCAGUUGCGGGGUAACGGCCCACCAAAGCGAUGAUCCGUAGCCGGCCUGAGAGGGCGACCGGCCACAUUGGGACUGAGACACGGCCCAAACUCCUACGGGAGGCAGCAGUGGGGGAUAUUGCACAAUGGGGGGAACCCUGAUGCAGCCGACGCCGCGUGAAGGAGGAAGUGCUUCGGCAUGUAAACUUCUAUCUGCAGGGAAGAAGAUGACGGUACCUGACUAAGAAGCCCCGGCUAACUACGUGCCAGCCGCUGC